GCUCACUGGGGUACAACUGACACUGAGGCUCGAAAGUGUGGGUAUCAAACAGGAUUAGAUACCCUGGUAGUCCACACAGUAAACGAUGAAUACUCGCUGUUUGCGAUAUACAGUAAGCGGCCAAGCGAAAGCAUUAAGUAUUCCACCUGGGGAGUACGCCGGCAACGGUGAAACUCAAAGGAAUUGACGGGGGCCCGCACAAGCGGAGGAACAUGUGGUUUAAUUCGAUGAUACGCGAGGAACCCUUACCCGGGCUUGAAUUGCAGAGGAACAUAGUUGAAAGAUUAUGGCCGCAAGGUCUCUGUGAAGGUGCUGCAUGGUUGUCGUCAGCUCGUGCCGUGAGGUGUCGGCUUAAGUGCCAUAACGAGCGCAACCCUUAUCAUUAGUUACUAACAGGUCAUGCUGAGGACUCUAGUGAGACUGCCGUCGUAAGAUGUGAGGAAGGUGGGGAUGACGUCAAAUCAGCACGGCCCUUACGUCCGGGGCUACACACGUGUUACAAUGGGGGGUACAGAGGGCAGCUACCGGGCGACCGGAUGCCAAUCCCAAAAACCUCUCUCAGUUCGGAUCGAAGUCUGCAACCCGACUUCGUGAAGCUGGAUUCGCUAGUAAUCGCGCAUCAGCCACGGCGCGGUGAAUACGUUCCCGGGCCUUGUACACACCGCCCGUCAAGCCAUGGGAGCCGGGGGUACCUGAAGUACGUAACCGCAAGGAGC
rnacentral:rRNA from 1 species